AACGAACGCUGGCGGCAUGCCUAACACAUGCAAGUCGAACGAGACCUUCGGGUCUAGUGGCGCACGGGUGCGUAACGCGUGGGAACCUGCCCUUAGGUUCGGAAUAACUCCCCGAAAGGGGUGCUAAUACCGGAUAAUAUCUUCGGACCAAAGAUUUAUCGCCUUUGGAUGGGCCCGCGUUGGAUUAGCUAGUUGGUAGGGUAAAAGCCUACCACGGCGACGAUCCAUAGCUGGUCUGAGAGGAUGAUCAGCCACACUGGGACUGAGACACGGCCCAGACUCCUACGGGAGGCAGCAGUGGGGAAUAUUGGACAAUGGGCGAAAGCCUGAUCCAGCAAUGCCGCGUGAGUGAUGAAGGCCUUAGGGUUGUAAAGCUGUUUUACCCGGGAUGAUAAUGACAGUACCGGGAGAAUAAGCUCCGGCUAACUCCGUG
rnacentral:rRNA from 1 species